GAUACAUGAAAAAGAAAAACUUAGGGUCAAGCUAUCUCUAAUGCAAACUUAAUCAUACUACACAUUACACAGUUAUUUCUUGUUUUAUAUCUCCUCCAUAUUAUAAUGAUCUCUUUUUAUUUAUGUGUAUAUAUUUAAGUGCUGCUUCCAAUGCAAGUAUGUUGUGAUUUCUACAGUUCCCACACAUAUCCGAUGAUUGUUCCAAGCCUCAUCGAUCAUCAUCCUCCUUCAAACUAAGACUUUAGGUUUAUUACAUUGGCAAGAAGAUGAUGGUGGUAUACGUUGCACUGCUUUUCUUCUUGCUGGGUGCAUCUUCUGUGAAGAGCUCAUUUAGGACAUCUCCGGUUAUUCUGAAUACUGAAAAUUCUGACCGGGUAAU